UACGGAGGAUGCGAGCGUUAUCCGGAUUUAUUGGGUUUAAAGGGUGCGUAGGCGGACUGUCAAGUCAGCGGUAAAAUUGAGAGGCUCAACCUCUUCCCGCCGUUGAAACUGGUGGUCUUGAGCGGAUGAGAAGUACGCGGAAUGCGUGGUGUAGCGGUGAAAUGCAUAGAUAUCACGCAGAACUCCGAUUGCGAAGGCAGCGUACCGGCAUCCAACUGACGCUGAGGCACGAAAGCGUGGGGAUCAAACAGG
rnacentral:rRNA from 1 species